UACGUAGGGGGCAAGCGUUGUCCGGAUUUAUUGGGCGUAAAGAGCGUGUAGGCGGUCAGGUAGGUCCGUUGUGAAAACUCGAGGCUCAACCUCGAGACGCCGAUGGAAACCAUCUGACUAGAGUCCGGAAGAGGUGAGUGGAAUUCCCGUGUGAGACGGUGAAAUGCGUAGAUAUCGGGAGGAACACCUGUGGCGAAAGCGGCUCACUGGACCACAACUGACGCUGAGGCGCGAAAGCUAGGGGAGCAAACAGG
rnacentral:rRNA from 1 species